GGUGCGACUCUUCUCAGUCUUUUACCGCGGCUCCGCCUCCUGGAUGGCGCUCCUGUGGGCAUGGGUGCGCGCGCGUGUCGGCUUCCUCCUCUCUAUCAUGCAUAUUCGUGUGGCCUCGACCAAAAUGUCGGUGUUGUGCUCUUGUAGAACAGCAUUAAGAGGAUGUGAUAUCAGCUAGCUUAAUUUUUUCCAAACUCCUGCAAUGAAAGGAUGUGGUCCUGUCAAAAUCAGAUACUAAUGGCAGUUUUGCGAGUGCAUGCAUGUUCUUGUCAUUUCAACUAAUCUGGCUGGCCAUGUUUCCAUAGAAAGGUUCAAGCUUCUCAGCCAUACAAUAGGUGUCAGACACCCAGACUUUAUGAGCAUGUGAUUUGUUCAGGCAAGCAACGACAGGCACAGCUGAAACACAUCCUACAAAUUUUGCUUCUCUCAAUUGCUCGUUUCUCCUGCGCCGCUCAGAGCAUCCCGA